UCUUCAUUAUUGAUUUAGGUGUUCGCUAUAGAGGAGUAACAACAGUUACUGCGAAAUACGUAGGUUCGAUGCUGCGAAAAGGUUUGUAGGUGGUAACAAAUGCGCUUACUGCCGAGAAGAGAGUAUAGAAUUUUUGGAAACUAUUACGAGUAGAAUAAAUUUUAUUAGUUCCUUGGCCAAAAGAACAACGUAUAUUCAUUUCCUCCUGGAAAAUUUAUCUAGAAUGAGACGUCCACUUAAAUUACAACAGGAGAUGUAAUUACAUUUGAAGGGUGCAAGAUAGAAAAUUACGUUUUUUGACGACUGGCUUUGCUUUCUUUGGGUUUUUCGAUGGAACUGAUCGUUAAGGGUUAACCGUUGACUGCGAAACCGUCAGAGAUGGCUUAGCGGCGGAUGCAGGUGGGGAUGAGAGAAGAAAUCGGCCACAUCCCCACGAAGAGUAAUCGCGACGUCUGCU